rnacentral:rRNA from 1 species
AUUGAACGCUGGCGGCAUGCCUUACACAUGCAAGUCGAACGGCAGCACGGGAGCAAUCCUGGUGGCGAGUGGCGAACGGGUGAGUAAUAUAUCGGAACGUGCCCAGUCGUGGGGGAUAACGCAGCGAAAGCUGUGCUAAUACCGCAUACGAUCUACGGAUGAAAGCGGGGGAUCGCAAGACCUCGCGCGAUUGGAGCGGCCGAUAUCAGAUUAGCUAGUUGGUGGGGUAAAGGCCCACCAAGGCGACGAUCUGUAGCUGGUCUGAGAGGACGACCAGCCACACUGGAACUGGGACACGGUCCAGACUCCUACGGGAGGCAGCAGUGGGGAAUUUUGGACAAUGGGCGCAAGCCUGAUCCAGCAAUGCCGCGUGCAGGAAGAAGGCCUUCGGGUUGUAAACUGCUUUUGUCAGGGAAGAAAUCCUCUGGGUUAAUACCCCGGGGGGAUGACGGUACCUGAAGAAUAAGCACCGGCUAACUACGUGCCAGCCGCCGCCGUAAGAC